AUUGAACGCUGGCGGCAUGCUUUACACAUGCAAGUCGAACGGUAACAGGCCUUCGGGUGCUGACGAGUGGCGAACGGGUGAGUAAUGCAUCGGAACGUGCCCAAUCGUGGGGGAUAACGUAGCGAAAGUUACGCUAAUACCGCAUAAGCCCUGAGGGGGAAAGCAGGGGAUCGCAAGACCUUGCGCGAAUGGAGCGGCCGAUGUCAGAUUAGCUAGUUGGUGGGGUAAAGGCCUACCAAGGCGACGAUCUGUAGCGGGUCUGAGAGGAUGAUCCGCCACACUGGGACUGAGACACGGCCCAGACUCCUACGGGAGGCAGCAGUGGGGAAUUUUGGACAAUGGGCGCAAGCCUGAUCCAGCCAUGCCGCGUG
rnacentral:rRNA from 1 species